AUCAGAAAUUGGGACUUAGCAACGCUGAUUACUGGUCGGUCGGGUUUGUACUUUGUUUCAUCGAUCAGUCAACAUUCACUGCACUAAGUGGAAGUAGGUCUGUUUUUAAGUUGGAUGUCCUGACUCCUGAUUGUUUUCAUCUUUGUAACUGUUACAAUAGGUCAAUAGGACAAACCUGAACAACCACAUUAUGUAUUAGAUAUAGAUUUGUGUUUACUACUGGCGCUGGAUGGUUGCAUUAGCUUUGAUUCUUUGUAAGACCAAAGUGUUGUUAGGGUCAAACUUAAGUGUG
rnacentral:lncRNA from 1 species